rnacentral:misc_RNA from 1 species
UACGGAGGGUGCAAGCGUUGUCCGGGUUUAUUGGGUUUAAAGGGUGCGUAGGCGGCCUAUUAAGUCGGAUGUGAAAUCCCCGAGCUCAACUGUGGAACUGCCAUUGAUACUGGUAAUCUUGAAUUCAGUUGAGGUAGGCGGAAUUGAUGGUGUAGCGGUGAAAUGCAUAGAUACCAUCAAGAACACCGAUUGCGAAGGCAGCUUACUGGACUUGAAUUGACGCUGAGGCACGAAAGCGUGGGGAGCGAACAGG